rnacentral:lncRNA from 1 species
UGUUGUACCCUGAUUUUGGACCUAAAAAUACUUGUUCAAAUUUCUCUUUUAGCACUGAUAUUUGUCAAUUCGCUGUUGUUUUACUCUGAAUCUUUACUCUCUUUUCAUCUGCAUAUUCUACUGUCUCUGUCUCAAAGUACGUUCAAGCUCGAUUUUCUUGCAUAAAAUCAUUCAAAAUGUCUUUUCUUGCAUUAUAAGUCAUUUAAGAGCUCUCUGAAACAUCGCAUUACUUUUUCCUGCAUUUUAUUUCAAAAAAUCAUACAAAAGGGUAUUUUGGUCAUUUCCUGCAGUGGAACCCAUUUUAGUCCCUGUGUUUGCCUCUGAGUCUUUUCAACUUGUCUGUACAAAUCACUGUUGAGUCCUUGUUUAAAAAGUCAUUUCAAAAAUUGCAUCUGAGUCAGUUUGAGUCAGUUUAGUCCCUAGGGGCAUUUUGGUCUUUUCCUGUCCAAAUUUCGGCAGGGAGGUAUUUUAAAAUACCUCAUGUCAGUAAUUGGUUCGUUUUAGUCCUUUUGUUGAUUUUACUUUUGGUUUCACUUUACGUUUUUUCAAAUUACCAAUUUUAGUCCAAUUUUAUUUUAAUUACAUUUUAAGUCCCUCAAACAAUUCUCAAAAUUGUAUUUUAGUCCAAAACUUUUUAAAAAUUGCAGUUAGGUCUUUUUUUUUAUUACGGUCCAGUCCUCCAAUUUUCUCAUUUUGCAGAUAGGUCCUUAAAGUCAAAAGUCCAAGGCAGAGCCAAGCAAAGUCCAAAAACAGGUGUCCCUUUCUCAUUGGGUCUCAAGUACACAUGUCAGCUAUAAAUACAACACAGUGUCAGAUUUUCAAGGAGGAUCCAUUAAUCACACGCCACAUCACAAACAAAAGAGAAAUUUCUCUCUCCUUUCUGUUAGGAUCAAAACUCAGAAAUCACCAAGAACACUCAAACCCUUAGAACACUCAAACCCUAGAUUUUUCCAGAAUCACAAUUCAACACAAAAUUCAGUGAAUCUUUCGCAAUUCUCAGAGAUUCAUCACUGAAUCUUCAUCAUCGAAUCGGUUUCCUUCGCAAUUCAAGGUGCGAAUUCGCCAUUGGCAAACUCCAGCACCGAUCACG